rnacentral:rRNA from 1 species
AUGACCAUUAACAAGGCACAGGGUCAAACCAUCCCAAAUGUCGGUAUUUACCUUCCAGAACCUGUUUUCUCACAUGGCCAACUAUAUGUUGCAUUGUCAAGGGGUGUCUCAAGAAAGACGACACGGAUUUUAGCCAAGCCUAACACCGAGGUUGAUAAAUCUGGGAGAAGCACCAAAAACAUUGUCUAUAGAGAUGUUUUAGAGGGGUUUUGA